rnacentral:rRNA from 1 species
CACGUAGGGUGCGAGCGUUUGUCCGGAAUUAUUGGGCGUAAAGAGCUCGUAGGCGGUGUGUCGCGUCGGCCGUGAAAACCUGCAGCUUAACUGUGGGCUUGCGGUCGAUACGGGCAUCACUGGAGUUCGGCAGGGGGAGACUGGAAUUCCUGGUGUAGCGGUGAAAUGCGCAGAUAUCAGGAGGAACACCGGUGGCGAAGGCGGGGUCUCUGGGCAGUAACUGACGCUGAGGAGCGAAAGCGUGGGGAGCGAACAGG